rnacentral:rRNA from 1 species
UACGGGGGGGGCAAGCGUUGUUCGGAAUUACUGGGCGUAAAGGGCUCGUAGGUGGCCAACUAAGUCAGACGUGAAAUCCCUCAGCUUAACUGGGGAACUGCGUCUGAUACUGGAUGGCUUGAGAUUGGGAGAGGGAUGCGGAAUUCCAGGUGUAGCGGUGAAAUGCGUAGAUAUCUGGAGGAAUACCGGUGGCGAAGGCGGCAUCCUGGACCGGCAUUGACGCUGAGGAGCGAAAGCUAGGGGAGCAAACGGG